GUAACUUUUUUCGAGAAAUAACUUUUUUUCAUCAUACACGUGUGAGAUUUGCGUCAUCGCUCAUUAGUGAGCACUUGCUCGUCCCGAGUUUUGAGAACCUAGUUUGCAAACUUUUCUUUUUGGUUAACGCUCCCAACACUCGGGUUGAAGUACGCAUCCUACUUUAGAGAUAGAAACAUGUGUUUAUCUAUACAUCAACAGGUGUUUUAUCUCUAAACAUCUUGAGAAAUGCCUCUUUAAUCUGCUGAAUAUAUCCAAUAAUUUUACCCUUGAAUCAUUUUAUUAAGUGUCAACUACUUUGAAGUUGUUGCAGGAAUUCUUCCUAUAUUUAAUUACAAGCUAUUAAAAAUGACAUUCAUCCAUCUCUUGCAGUGCCUGCAAUAACGGAGUUCUUUUAAUUUAUACAGUUGCUUCAAGACAAGAAGGUACUACUUGUUUCAGCUUUCCAAUCUCUAUGCUAAUCUAAAGGCCACAUAGGCUUCCUCGAACAAAAAAUGCUGCAAGUAAAGUUUACUUUUCUCUUGUUCCUUGGCGUUUAGUCAGAGACUGCACCAGAAAAUAAAAUCAAAAUUAUCAUUCAGCAUUAGCCAUUAAUCUAAGGCUCUUGUUUUAAUGCUAAUUUUUAUUUUUAAAUCUAUACAAUUGACCUAAUGUGAAAUGCCCAAAUGAUGCCUAUGGUUAUGAUUCAAUCUGCCUAUACGAGUAUGAUUAUGCACGUUGAAUUCAUGCCAUUACAUCAAAUGUGUUUAAGCACUUGCCUCUAGUAAAAAUUUAAUACAUUUUCAGCAAAAAAGAAUUGGCUCUCAACACAAAAAAAAGUGUGGGUGGGGGGACAUGAGCUAGAUCCAUAAAAACCUGGGGUUUUACGACAGCUCGCUCUAAAUUGCAGCAUCAAACAACAAAAUAUUUUCUUUCGCGAGUCACCAAAAUGUCAGCAGCAGUGCCUUUUUUUUUUAUUAAGAAAUGUCCCUUCCUUUCACGAGCUUCGUCCAAUUGUAUUCGUUCUAUGUCGGUAGAGCCCACACAAUCCCCAUUCCUUCGUAACAGCCAGGAUUCAUCAUCGCCCAGUUCUCAUAUCUUUGGGUCCAUCAUCGCUUUUGCGCAGCCUAGUGAUGAAUUAUUACAUAUUUGAUGAUGCUGCUGCUGCUGUGGCUAAAGCUGUUUUGUCGUGAGGGAGAAUGCGAGUAAACGGGAGGGCUCGUUAUUGUUAUUGGCCUAUCAGUCGUUUGUGUCUGUUGCUGCUGUUAAUAUUAUUUAGGUCAUCCUGUUGUGUGCCUCUGUUGGAUUUCGCUUUUCAUUUCAGCACCAGUAGAAUUAUAUGUUUAUGUACACAGAGUGGGCUCGUCCAUCACGACACGCGGCUGCAACAGAAGCAGCAAUCCAAUUUCCCGUCGUCUGUGUGUGUGUGUGUGUGGCAACGUCCUUUUUCGCUGUAAUAGUUCGACUAUAGACUCGAUGUAGGAAAUAGGAAUUCCCAGCCCUGAACUCACGAGCUCUCGAGAUAUACACACUAUAUUACUUUGACUGUAUAGAGACGUUAUAUAGCAAUUGAUAUUGGGAGUCUUGAAGAAGAAAAAAAUGCACUUUUUUUUUUUCUUUUUGCUUGAACGUUUAUACAGGGAAAAGCACUCGAGUUUGAUUGCGCUAGAAAGAGCUGAGCAAGCGGGAGCUAUAUAUGGGGGUGGGCGAUUUCGGUUGUAUAAAGGAGACAAAGUCAAUAAAUAAAAUAGUUACUUUUCUUGAAAAAUCCAAUUGUGAAAUGACACAACAACCGCAGCCGGAGAAUAGUCGAUAGAAAUCAUCCGCACGCGGAGUUAAAAUUACGGAUUAAUAUUUUUCAUUCGCUGAAAAUAUAAAAGUCGCUGGACUUUUUUAUUUUCUGUUCUCAGAUUUGAUUGUGGAUCAAUUUCCUGCAGAAAGGCUCCUCCUAUAUGUCGUAAAAAUAAAGCUGACGUUGUUGUGUUUGUUGUGCUCUUCUCCUGUAUAGCCCACGGCCGAACCUUUUCUAAACAGUAUCUCAUCUGGUCAAUUGUUGAUCCAGCGUACACACACAAAAGCCCCCCGUAUCCUUUUUUAUUUUUUUUUAUUUAAGAGUAGCAAGACCAGCAAGUUUAUAUUAUUAUAUGUACAGAGGAGAGCUAUAUCAAAUGUUCCAGUCAACUGGAAUCUUUUCUAUAGAGAGAGAAAGGGAGGGUUGCUUUAUCAAUGUUGAUCCAGGAUGGCAUCUAUGGAGACAUUUGGCGUUGAUUGACUAGACAAGAGGCUAGGAGAGAUUCUCAAAUGUUAUGCAGUAAAUGCAAUAUAGUGUAUACGCAAAGCCUCGGAAUGUUUACGCUCUAGAAGAAAGAAAAGAGACAAGGAAAUCUGAUUUUUCUUUUUUCUCUCUCCUGUCUGCCUUUUCAAAUGUUCACUCCUUCACUUCCUUUUGUUGCAUGCGCAGAAAGAACAUUGAAUCGAAAACUGUUGAAUCGAGAAAGAAAGGGCCGUACCACAAUACGAUUCCCGCAAAGUAGGGGUCGUUUGGCUUGUGGUAAAUGUUGGGACAAAGUCAUGAGCAAGACGAAAACCCUCAAUCCUUUCAUUUUCAAUUUGCUAAAUGGAGCGACCGUUGUAAGUCUGCUGGUCGAGCAUAGACCUUGACCAUUUGAGUUCUUUUUAACAAUUUAUUUUCUUUUAUUAUAUGUGGACAUAUUCCUUUAUAGGCUUUCUACCCGUGUUCUUGACGUCUUCACCGAUUGUUAUAGCAUUCAGUUCAAAGAAGACGAACAAGUUUAGCCUUCACGACCUGAAAGAAAGACGUCGUCAAAUUGGCAAUUUUGAUAUUCUGUUUUUUUUAUAUAUUUAUUUAUUUAUUCGUUUUUCUAAAGGCCACGUUUUUAUCCCCCCGUUUUAUUGAUUUUCUUUCGUCUGCAUACGUCUGAAAGCGGCCGUUCUAUUCAGGAAGGAACAAGCAACGUUGCCGUCAUCGUCCAAGGUUUCCCAUGAUGAAUAUACAAUGAAACCUCGUCCAGUUCAUGGGAUUGCCCUAGAAAGAACAAAACAACGAUCCAUACUGUUUCGAAAACAGGUUUAUCCCUAGCUCACCACCCCAGGACAACGUAAGGGAAAGGUAUAUGUCGCCAUCUUGGCACAGAUAUGCCGAGAUGUGCAGUCCUCUGUGUAUACGGUCGUGUUAUUCGCAGGACUAGGAAAUUCCGCGAAAUUGGGAAAAAAGAAACUCACCAAAUCGAUCAGCUGUGACAGAUGGAGACCAAGGCGGACAGUGACCACUUCGCUGUUAUUACUAACAGGUCGAAUAAGCCGAUUGUAAUGACUCAGCAGAUCAUCGUAGAGUCUUUUGGCAUCAGGAUUGGCUUCAGAUGGCCUGAUGACGACCACACUAAUGAACAGGGUCGUCACUAUCAUCUGGCUGAAGGCAACAACGGUCCGGCAACUCUGUCUGUCCAACAACAUGUCGACCAGCUUUUUCCCUCUGCACUCGCUCUUGUUUUGGUCGUCUGUUAUUGUCUUGUGCGUGGAUUGUCUUGCUUUAUUCUUCUUCUAUUCCCCCUUUAGUUGUAGGAAAGCUCAACAGGCCGGCUUCUCUUGUUCGGCGUUGAUCUUGGGGUCAACAAAGGUGGACGUCUGUGGUCCCACUGCUCAAAACACUGAGGGGAGGAGUCGAAGGCCGUAUAUCUUGAACCAAAGAGAAUAAUAAUGGCCGAUCGAGUUCUAUAGGGAUACACUGUUCUCACACGAAGGAGCUGCACAUGCACUAAAGCAUUCGGCUAUCUGGUCGGUCACUUGAAGAGUUUGUUGUCAACACACAAGCUGGCCAGAAACACAGGUUGCACCAACCGAUGGGAAGAUUUCGCUGGAUGCUGUGUAGACACGUCAGGUGGCAUCAGUAUGGUACGGAUGAAACAGCCGCCAUGAACGCCGCCAUCGAAGGAUGAGGCGCACGCACACACUCGCUACACACACACACACACAGGGAGGAAGGCUUCACGCACACACACAGAGGCAAAAAUGUGGCAUAAAAGGGGGGAGGCAGUGUGUGGGUUGUCAGAAGCUCCUGGGAUGGUCAGAUCUCAGGAGAAAAAGACUAAACUAGUAGCUGGAACGUCGAUGGUGGCGCUAUCGUUUGCGACUUGCGCAAUUGAUGGCAAUCGGUUCGAUAUUUUACUAAACAGUUUUGGCCAUCCUUCGUUUAAUGUCAACUUCUGCAGGGCAAAUCAAUCAAUUUCCUUAUUGAUUUGA